ACCAAUCAGAGAGCAGCAUUGCGGUUGCAGAAAAGUUUGCUGCAAAAAAAAAGUUUUUUGGACGGAGACGAGAUUCGGUGUGAUCGGCUUAUCUAAAGCUUAAAAUUUCACGACUUCGACCGAGAUUAAACAGACCAUACUCGGCAGAUUGUGAGAUUGUGAUCAAUCAAGACGACAAACAUGGCUCACAUUUUUGAACUGCUGUGCCUUCUUGCAACAGAGUGAGAUUCAGCAACACAUAGGAAGACCACAGCAUGGAUUAAGAGACAAGAAGAAUCCAUUUGAAUGCUACAAGGAUGAACCUUUUAGAGUGGGCUACCAACAGAGAGAAACAACACAUUGCCUGACAUGUUACAUGUUUUGACAGGACUUUGUUUUUAUGCCAUUGGUACCUUUUAGAAGAUGCAAGCAGACAAAGCAACUAUAUCAUAGUCAUCCGUGUGCAGAAUCAUCAAAGAUUUUUCUGAGGCAAUGGCAAGGAGUAACAGUUAAUGAAGUGUCCGAUGACGAGAAAUUCAAACCACCCAGCGACAAUUUGAUGAUUGCUACAGGUUUCCAAGAGUCGUAGGUGCUAUCGAUUGGGGCCAUGUCUACAUCAGGAGUCCUGAUGGGGAACAAGCCCUGUACUUAGCAGGAAAAACAGGUCUUCUGUAAAUGUAUAGGUUGGUAUACACACUCAGUUUUCAAUUUGAUAUUCUCUGUAUUCAACACCUACUAGAUGUAUGUGAUAAUGAAGAAAACAUAUAUUGGCCCCUACUACAUACUGUAUUUAAUCAAAUUUCAAUCUUGUUGGUCAAAUUUUCUUGUAAUUUUAUACUCUUUAUAUGUGAAAUAAGACAAUUUUAAAGAUUUCACAGAAGAAAAAAAUAUAUAGAUAAUCUGCUAACUUUUGUAUUGCAGGAGAAAUGAAAAAUAGUAAAAAAAAAUGCAUUUUGCUCUUCAGGUAAAGGGGGUAUUAAUUGCUUGAUCAAUGAAGAUAUAUUUCCAGAAAGAAUAACGAAGAGCAAAUUUUUUAAUAUUCAUUUUGUUUUGAUCCUUAUUGCAGGUAUCCGUUGCUCCUCUCUUUGAUGAAUUCCUGCCUGCAUUCUGUUGUCAAUAGAAAAGGACCAUGUGCUUUGGGUAUUAAGCAUUCCAUUGGAUUAUCUGUGUAUGAAAGUGGACACUUGUGAUCACAAAAUGGUAGCUUAGUUGAUAGGAUGUAUUCAUGCAUUCCGAUUUAUCAUUAGUGAUCAAAUGACCAUCUUGCUUUUAAAAACCCAAAUUCACAACAUUUUUCUUGUUUGACAAAAGGUUUGGGAUGUGAAUUCCAGGAAAUAAAUGACACACACGAUGGGCUAAUGUAUAAGCAGGGAUGUGAGAGGUAUAAGCAACAUUUUGCUCAUGCUUAACUAAGUUUGGCAUGAGAUGGUCUUGGUCAUUCUUAUGAUUCAAGUCUAUUUUUAUACCAUUUUUUUUAAACAACAAUCAAUGUUUGAAGCCUCAUGAUUUCAAUAUCAAAACCUCUUUGUUAAUUAAAUGGUCAUAUUUCUAAGCAUAUGCAGCUUCCUAAUUUAUCAAAUUUAAAUUAUAUAUCAUUUUUGCUGAAUAUCCUUUUUUUCCCACCUAUUUUCAUAGGCACUAAGAUACAUUUCUGUAGUAAGCACUAUAUAUACAUUGCAAGCUAUUAUCAUUUGUUUGAUAUUACUAUUUUAUGAUAGAAUCAUCCUUUAAUUUCUUUCAGAAAUAUAAUUGCCUAAUUACCUGUGAUAUUCAUGCUUUAGCUGUAGAGUUUAAAAUCUUGACUAAACUUUUUUUAAUCCAUUGUUUAUCUGUUUUUAUUCAGAGUUUCUGAUGCAUUGUUAAGAAAAUGUAAACAGUCUAUUCAAUCUUCGUAUCAUUAUGUAAAGAAUUUCAAUCUACUUU